AGCGAACGCUGGCGGCAGGCCUAACACAUGCAAGUCGAACGAACUCUUCGGAGUUAGUUGCGGACGGGUGGGUACCACGUGGGAACGUGCCUUUUGGUUCGGAAUACCUCAGGGAAACUUGUGCUAAUACCGAAUGUGCCCUUCGGGGGAAAGAUUUGUCGCCAUUAGAGCGGCCCUCGUCUGAUUAGCUAGUUGGUGAGGUAACGGCUCACCAAGGCGACGAUCAGUAGCUGGUCUGAGAGGAUGACCAGCCACGCUGGGACUGAGACACGGCCCAGGGUCCGACGGGAGGCAGCAGUGGGGAAUCUAGCGCGAUGGGCGAAAGCCUGACGAAGCCAUGCCGCGGGAAUGAUGAAGGUCCUAGGAUUGUAAAAUUCUUUCAGCGGGGACGAUAAUGACGGUACCCGGAGAAGAAGCCCCGGCUAACUUCGUG
rnacentral:rRNA from 1 species